GGAAUUACUCUGUCGUGGGGGAUAACGUAGGGAAACUUACGCUAAUACCGCAUACGACUACGGGUGAAAGCAGGGGAUCUUCGGACCUUGCGCGAUUGAAUGAGCCGAUGUCGGAUUAGCUAGUUGGCGGGGUAAAGGCCCACCAAGGCGACGAUCCGUAGCUGGUCUGAGAGGAUGAUCAGCCACACUGGAACUGAGACACGGUCCAGACUCCUACGGGAGGCAGCAGUGGGGAAUAUUGGACAAUGGGCGCAAGCCUGAUCCAGCCAUACCGCGUGGGUGAAGAAGGCCUUCGGGUUGUAAAGCCCUUUUUGUUGGGAAAGAAAUCCAGCUGGCUAAUACCCGGUUGGGAUGACGGUACCCAAAGAAUAAGCACCGGCUAACUUCGUGCCAGCAGCCGCGGUAAUACGAAAGGUGCAAGCGUUACUCGGAAUUACUGGGCGUAAAGCGUGCGUAGGUGGUCGUUUAAGUCCGUUGUGAAAAGCCCUGGGCUCAACCUGGGGAACUGCAGUGGAUACUGGGCGACUAGAGUGUGGUAGAGGGUAGCGGAAUUCCCUGGGUGUAGCAGUGAAAUGCGUAGAGAUCAGGAGGAACAUCCCAUGGGCGAAGGCAGCUACCUGGGACCCAACACUGACACUGAGGCACGAAAGCGUGGGGGAGCAAAACAGGGAUUAGAUACCCUGGUAGUCCACGCCCCUAAACGAUGCGAACUGGAUGUUGGGUGCAAUUUGGCACGCAGUAUCGAAGCUAACGCGUUAAGUUCGCCGCCUGGGGAGUACGGUCGCAAGACUGAAACUCAAAGGAAUUGACGGGGGCCCGCACAAGCGGUGGAGUAUGUGGUUUAAUUCGAUGCAACGCGAAGAACCUUACCUGGCCUUGACAUGUCGAGAACUUUCCAGAGAUGGAUUGGUGCCUUCGGGAACUCGAACACAGGUGCUGCAUGGCUGUCGUCAGC
rnacentral:rRNA from 1 species